rnacentral:rRNA from 1 species
CCUACGGGGGGCACCAGUGAGGAAUAUUGCACAAUGGGCGCAAGCCUGAUGCAGCCAUGCCGCGUGUAUGAAGAAGGCCUUAGGGUUGUAAAGUACUUUCAGUUGGGAGGAAGGCGUUGAUGCUAAUAUCAUCAACGAUCGACGUUACCAACAAAAGAAGCACCGGCUAACUCCGUGCCAGCAGCCGCGGUAAUACGGAGGGUGCAAGCGUUAAUCGGAAUUACUGGGCGUAAAGCGCACGCAGGCGGUUGAUUAAGUUAGAUGUGAAAUCCCCGGGCUUAACCUGGGAAUGGCAUCUAAGACUGGUCAGCUAGAGUCUUGUAGAGGGGGGUAGAAUUCCAUGUGUAGCGGUGGAAUGCGUAGAGAUGUGGAGGAAUACCGGUGGCGAAGGCGGCCCCCUGGACAAAGACUGACGCUCAGGUGCGAAAGCGUGGGGAGCAAACAGGAUUAGAUACCCUCGUAGUC